rnacentral:rRNA from 1 species
GACGAACGCUGGCGGCGUGCUUAACACAUGCAAGUCGAACGAUGAAGCCGGAGCUUGCUCUGGUGAAUUAGUGGCGAACGGGUGAGUAACACGUGAGUAACCUGCCCUUGACUCUGGGAUAACUGCGGGAAACUGUAGCUAAUACCGGAUACGACCCUCGGAGGCAUCUCCUGGGGGUGGAAAGAAUUUCGGUCAAGGAUGGACUCGCGGCCUAUCAGCUAGUUGGUGAGGUAAAGGCUCACCAAGGCGACGACGGGUAGCCGGCCUGAGAGGGGGGCCGGCCACACUGGGACUGGGGCACGGCCCAGACUCCUCCGGGAGGCAGCAGUGGGGAAUAUUGCACAAUGGGCGCAAGCCUGAUGCAGCAACGCCGCGUGAGGGAUGACGGCCUUCGGGUUGUAAACCUCUUUUAGCAGGGAAGAAGCGAAAGUGACGGUACCUGCAGAAAAAGCACCGGCUAACUACGUGCCAGCCGCCGCCGUAA